rnacentral:rRNA from 1 species
ACCUAGUAGUAUGGGAUAGCCACUAGAAAUGGUGGGUAAUACUGUAUAAUCCCUGCGGGGGAAAGAUUUAUCGCUAUUAGAUGAGCCUAUGUCAGAUUAGCUAGUUGGUGGGGUAAAGGCCUACCAAGGCAGUGAUCUAUAGCUGGUCUGAGAGGAUGAUCAGCCACACUGGAACUGAGACACGGUCCAGACUCCUACGGGAGGCAGCAGUGGGGAAUAUUGGACAAUGGGCGCAAGCCUGAUCCAGCUAUGCCGCGUGAGUGAGGAAGGCCUUAGGGUUGUAAAACUCUUUCAGUGGGGAAGAUAAUGACGGUACCCACAGAAGAAGUCCCGGCAAACUCCGUGCCAGCAGCCGCGGUAAUACGGAGGGGGCAAGCGUUGUUCGGAAUUAUUGGGCGUAAAGGGCAUGUAGGCGGUUCGGUAAGUUAAAGGUGAAAUGCCAGGGCUUAACCCUGGAGCUGCUUUUAAUACUGCCAGACUCGAGUCCGGAAGAGGAUAG